rnacentral:misc_RNA from 1 species
GAUGAAGAACGUAGCGAAAUGCGAUAAGUAAUGUGAAUUGCAGAAUUCAGUGAAUCAUCGAGUCUUUGAACGCACAUUGCGCCCCCUGGUAUUCCGGGGGGCAUGCCUGUCCGAGCGUCAUUGCCGCCCUCAAGCACGGCUUGUGUGUUGGGCCCCCGCCCCCCGGCUUCGGGGGGCGGGCCCGAAAGGCAGCGGCGGCACCGCGUCCGGUCCUCGAGCGUAUGGGGCUUCGUCACCCGCACUGUAGGCCCGGCCGGCGCCCGCCGGCGACCCCAAUCAAUCUUUCCAGGUUGACCUCGGAUCAGGUAGGGAUACCCGCUGAACUUAAGCAUAUCAAUAAGCGGAGGA